UACGGGGGGGGCAAGCGUUGUUCGGAAUUACUGGGCGUAAAGGGCUCGUAGGCGGCCAACUAAGUCAGACGUGAAAUCCCUCGGCUUAACCGGGGAACUGCGUCUGAUACUGGAUGGCUUGAGUUUGGGAGAGGGAUGCGGAAUUCCAGGUGUAGCGGUGAAAUGCGCAGAUAUCUGGAGGAACACCGGUGGCGAAGGCGGCAUCCUGGACCAACACUGACGCUGAGGAGCGAAAGCCAGGGGAGCAAACGGG
rnacentral:rRNA from 1 species